GGGCUGGUAGCUCAACUGGUAGAGCGCUUGCGUGGCACGCAAGAGGCAGCGGGUUCGACCCCCGUCCGGUCCACAA
rnacentral:tRNA from 1 species